CGGGUUGUUAAAGCACUUUCAGUAGGGAGGAAGGUACGUGUAGUUAACACCUGCAUUAUUUGACGUUACCUACAGAAGAAGCACCGGCUAACUCCCGUGCCAGCAGCCGCGGUAAUACGGAGGGUGCGAGCGUUAAUCGGAAUUACUGGGCGUAAAGCGCAUGCAGGCGGCCUGUUAAGUCAGAUGUGAAAGCCCGGGGCUUAACCUCGGAAUUGCAUUUGAAACUGGCAGGCUAGAGUCUUGUAGAGGGGGGUAGGAAUUUCUAGGUGUAGCGGUGAAAUAGCGUAGAGAUCUGAAGGAAUACCAGUGGCGAAGGCGGCCCCCUCGGACAAAGACUGACGCUCAGAUGCGAAAGCGUGGGGAGCAAACAGGAUUAGAUACCCCUGGUAG
rnacentral:rRNA from 1 species